GUCCACGCCGUAAACGAUGAUAACUAGCUGUCCGGGUUCAUAGAACUUGGGUGGCGCAGCUAACGCAUUAAGUUAUCCGCCUGGGGAGUACGGUCGCAAGAUUAAAACUCAAAGGAAUUGACGGGGGCCUGCACAAGCGGUGGAGCAUGUGGUUUAAUUCGAAGCAACGCGCAGAACCUUACCAGCGUUUGACAUCCUUGUCGCGGUUACCAGAGAUGGUUUCCUUCAGUUCGGCUGGACAAGUGACAGGUGCUGCAUGGCUGUCGU
rnacentral:rRNA from 1 species